rfam:Aspergillus calidoustus genome assembly, contig: SCAF6
GUCAGCAUGGUGGAGUGGUUAACACGUUAGACUUGAAAUCUAAUUCCUUCGGGAGCGCAGGUUCGAACCCUGCUGCUGACG